rnacentral:rRNA from 1 species
GGUUUCCGUAGGUGAACCUGCGGAGGAUCAUUA